AUCUAGCCAAGCGACCUCUUGUGGUCAUAUGAGGUAUAGCAAGAAAUAAGAAAGUGACCUCAUCAGUAAAAGACUAUAUAAUUAGUGAUGUCAUCAAAAAGAGACUGAAUCAGAGGCAGAGAGUGUUCAUGUUUUGGGCGUUCAUUAAUCCAAAGACAUCCUCCGUUCAAAGUUAUUAAUAAGGCGUUCCCUGCACAACUCCACGCACGAACCUCAGCUCAGUGUGUGAACCAAAGCUCAGCAGGAAUUCCAGUCCUGAUGCACACUUCUAAUCUCGACCAGACAUGAUUUAUGAUGAUGCUGUUUCAGACUUUACCUUUCUCUUCCUCAAACGUGAUGAGAGCUUCCCCACCUUUCAACACAAAGGAGGGUCUUUGGAUGAUGGUGAACACUGCCCUGAUAUCCUGAUCAGCAUGCUCUUGCUCAUCACUCUCAUCUUCCUCAUUUUGUUCGUUAUUACAAUGCACCAACUAAAAUCCCCAGCACAGAUCCACAACCAGUCAGUACCUUAAAUCUCUGUUGCAAAUUGUCCAUUUCUGACUUCUUAGAUUUGAGCUGCUCCUUAUAACGCUGUAGUUUUUUCUGCAGGUCCUGGUUAGCUUUUGUAAUAUUAUUUAUUUCCACCUAAAAGAGAAUGAAUUGUCUUAAAUUACCAAGUAGGUGAGGCAACAGCAAUAGAUGUAUAUUUGUAAAUGAAAUAUGACUUUAGUAUAUGAUUGAAAUUAAUAAAGAUCAAAUUUCA